rnacentral:sRNA from 1 species
CAGUCCAUACCUGCGCGGGGUCAAUCCAGUGAAUAUGGGCGUCGAUGCCGCCAGGGGUGACAAUACAGUGCUCCCCGGCGAUGACCUCCGUCCCCGGGCCGAUCACCAGCCGGGGGUCUACCCCGUCCAUGACGUCGGGGUUGCCCGCCUUGCCCACUGCCGCAAUGCGGCCAUCCCGGAUGCCGAUGUCGGCCUUGACCACCCCCAGCAGGGGGUCCAGCACCACCGCGUUGGUGAUAACCAGGUCCGGCGUCCCCGCCGCGCGGGGCACGGCGGCCUGGCCCAUCCCGUCGCGG